rnacentral:rRNA from 1 species
GGGUUGUGAGGUUAAGCGACUAAGCGUACACGGUGGAUGCCCUGGCAGUCAGAGGCGAUGAAGGACGUGCUAAUCUGCGAAAAGCGUCGGUAAGGUGAUAUGAACCGUUAUAACCGGCGAUGUCCGAAUGGGGAAACCCAGUGCAAUUCGUUGCACUAUCGUUAACUGAAUACAUAGGUUAACGAGGCGAACCGGGGGAACUGAAACAUCUAAGUACCCCGAGGAAAAGAAAUCAACCGAGAUUCCCCCAGUAGCGGCGAGCGAACGGGGAGCAGCCCAGAGUCUGAAUCAGCUUGUGUGUUAGUGGAACGGUCUGGAAAGUCCGACGGUACAGGGUGAUAGUCCCGUACACCAAAAUGCACAGGCUGUGAACUCGAAGAGUAGGGCGGGACACGUGGUAUCCUGUCUGAAUAUGGGGGGACCAUCCUCCAAGGCUAAAUACUCCUGACUGACCGAUAGUGAACCAGUACCGUGAGGGAAAGGCGAAAAGAACCCCGGCGAGGGGAGUGAAAAAGAACCUGAAACCGUGUACGUACAAGCAGUGGGAGCACCUUCGGGUGUGACUGCGUACCUUUUGUAUAAUGGGUCAGCGACUUAUAUUCUGUAGCAAGGUUAACCGUAUAGGGGAGCCGCAGGGAAACCGAGUCUUAACUGGGCGUUAAGUUGCAGGGUAUAGACCCGAAACCCGGUGAUCUAGCCAUGGGCAGGUUGAAGGUUGGGUAACACUAACUGGAGGACCGAACCGACUAAUGUUGAAAAAUUAGCGGAUGACUUGUGGCUGGGGGUGAAAGGCCAAUCAAACCGGGAGAUAGCUGGUUCUCCCCGAAAGCUAUUUAGGUAGCGCCUCGUGAAUUCAUCUUCGGGGGUAGAGCACUGUUUCGGCUAGGGGGUCAUCCCGACUUACCAACCCGAUGCAAACUACGAAUACCGAAGAAUGUUAUCACGGGAGACACACGGCGGGUGCUAACGUCCGUCGUGAAGAGGGAAACAACCCAGACCGCCAGCUAAGGUCCCAAAGUCAUGGUUAAGUGGGAAACGAUGUGGGAAGGCACAGACAGCCAGGAUGUUGGCUUAGAAGCAGCCAUCAUUUAAAGAAAGCGUAAUAGCUCACUGGUCGAGUCGGCCUGCGCGGAAGAUGUAACGGGGCUAAACCAUGCACCGAAGCUGCGGCAGCGACACUAUGUGUUGUUGGGUAGGGGAGCGUUCUGUAAGCCUGCGAAGGUGUGCUGUGAGGCAUGCUGGAGGUAUCAGAAGUGCGAAUGCUGACAUAAGUAACGAUAAAGCGGGUGAAAAGCCCGCUCGCCGGAAGACCAAGGGUUCCUGUCCAACGUUAAUCGGGGCAGGGUGAGUCGACCCCUAAGGCGAGGCCGAAAGGCGUAGUCGAUGGGAAACAGGUUAAUAUUCCUGUACUUGGUGUUACUGCGAAGGGGGGACGGAGAAGGCUAUGUUAGCCGGGCGACGGUUGUCCCGGUUUAAGCAUGUAGGCUGAUUGUCCAGGCAAAUCCGGAUAAUCAAGGCUGAGGUGUGAUGACGAGGCACUACGGUGCUGAAGUAACAAAUGCCCUGCUUCCAGGAAAAGCCUCUAAGCAUCAGGUAACAUCAAAUCGUACCCCAAACCGACACAGGUGGUCAGGUAGAGAAUACCAAGGCGCUUGAGAGAACUCGGGUGAAGGAACUAGGCAAAAUGGUGCCGUAACUUCGGGAGAAGGCACGCUGGUGUGUAGGUGAAGUCCCUGCGGAUGGAGCUGAGACCAGUCGAAGAUACCAGCUGGCUGCAACUGUUUAUUAAAAACACAGCACUGUGCAAACACGAAAGUGGACGUAUACGGUGUGACGCCUGCCCGGUGCCGGAAGGUUAAUUGAUGGGGUUAUCCGUAAGGAGAAGCUCUUGAUCGAAGCCCCGGUAAACGGCGGCCGUAACUAUAACGGUCCUAAGGUAGCGAAAUUCCUUGUCGGGUAAGUUCCGACCUGCACGAAUGGCGUAAUGAUGGCCAGGCUGUCUCCACCCGAGACUCAGUGAAAUUGAACUCGCUGUGAAGAUGCAGUGUACCCGCGGCAAGACGGAAAGACCCCGUGAACCUUUACUAUAGCUUGACACUGAACAUUGAGCCUUGAUGUGUAGGAUAGGUGGGAGGCUUUGAAGCGUGGACGCCAGUCUGCGUGGAGCCAACCUUGAAAUACCACCCUUUAAUGUUUGAUGUUCUAACGUUGGCCCCUUACCGGGGUUGCGGACAGUGUCUGGUGGGUAGUUUGACUGGGGCGGUCUCCUCCCAAAGCGUAACGGAGGAGCACGAAGGUUAGCUAAUCCUGGUCGGACAUCAGGAGGUUAGUGCAAUGGCAUAAGCUAGCUUGACUGCGAGCGUGACGGCGCGAGCAGGUGCGAAAGCAGGUCAUAGUGAUCCGGUGGUUCUGAAUGGAAGGGCCAUCGCUCAACGGAUAAAAGGUACUCCGGGGAUAACAGGCUGAUACCGCCCAAGAGUUCAUAUCGACGGCGGUGUUUGGCACCUCGAUGUCGGCUCAUCACAUCCUGGGGCUGAAGUAGGUCCCAAGGGUAUGGCUGUUCGCCAUUUAAAGUGGUACGCGAGCUGGGUUUAGAACGUCGUGAGACAGUUCGGUCCCUAUCUGCCGUGGGCGCUGGAGAAUUGAGGGGGGCUGCUCCUAGUACGAGAGGACCGGAGUGGACGCAUCACUGGUGUUCGGGUUGUCAUGCCAAUGGCACUGCCCGGUAGCUAAAUGCGGAAGAGAUAAGUGCUGAAAGCAUCUAAGCACGAAACUUGCCCCGAGAUGAGUUCUCCCUGAGACUUUAAGUCUCCUGAAGGAACGUU